GCCUACGACCAUCUCACCCUGAAUGCGCCCGAUCUCGUCUGAUCUCGGAAGCUAAGCAGGGGUCGAGCCUGGUUAGUACUUGAAUGGGAGACUGCCUGGGAAUACCAGGUGUUGUAGGCU
rnacentral:rRNA from 1 species